GAGAACGCGCUGGCAUAAAAAUUUUAAUUUAUGCCGUGUUGAGUGCGUUAUGCCCCAGUUCCCUACAAGUGUGCCUACUUUAGAUCUCUUCCAUAUCACACACAAUGUACAAUGUAUGCAGAUAGUAGGCCGGCACCUUUCCAGACACACAAAACACACACACACGCACACUUAGUCCUUGCCCCUGCCACAGCUGCUGCCCCAAGCCAAACCACAAAUCGGCACUUCUGGCGCGCUCUCCAUAGCUCAUUUUGCUGUCGUUCGCCGCUCGCUGGAAUAUGUUGGAUUUGGUCUAGGCACGCGAGGGCUUUCCAUUUCUUUGCCCGAUAGAACGACACUGUGGCGCGUAUGAAGAGCAGACGGCGGUCGCAAAUAUCCGCAAGCCAAUAAUUACGCAUUUCGCUUUUCGCAGUAUGGUUAUUUUUAAUGAUAAAUGACCAGGCCCAAAGUGUUGGAAAUUUUUCGGAGCUUAUGCCGAAUAUAUUACCUGAAUGGUGUUUAUGUGUUGGCGGCUACAGACAGAGUACAUACAUACUCGUAUGUGCUACAAGGAAAACAUGGAGGAGGAAAGCCGAAGCAAGAACACGGAGCCCACACAAGGUGUAUGGUGUAUGGUGUAUGGCAACGCAAUUUGUCAUUUGUCAGAAUCUAAUGCAGUUAAUAAUUAGCUAAGCCGACUAAUGGGAAAGCGCCUCGAUUCCUCUUGACAAUGUAAGGCUUGACUCUCCCUCUCUCUCUCUGCCUUCUCCGUGUGUUUGUUCCUGCCUUGGGGCCAUUAGACGAGCUAAGUUACUCGAAAGUUGGAAAUCCUACUGGGAAAUCAAUGGAUGAUUAAUUGCUUUAGCUACUCGAAGCUAUGUACAAUGUUGUGCUCAAGGGGUUUUCUA
rnacentral:sRNA from 1 species